rnacentral:rRNA from 1 species
UACGUAGGGGGCAAGCGUUGUCCGGAUUUAUUGGGCGUAAAGAGCUCGUAGGCGGUUUGGUAAGUCAGGUGUGAAAUCUCCACGCUCAACGUGGAGGGGCCACCUGAUACUGCCAUGACUGGAGUCCGGUAGAGGAGUGUGGAAUUCCCGGUGUAGCGGUGAAAUGCGCAGAUAUCAGGAGGAACACCGGUGGCGAAGGCGGGUCUCUGGGCAACUACUGACGCUGAGGAGCGAAAGCGUGGGGAGCGAACAGG